UACGAAGGGUGCAAGCGUUACUCGGAAUUACUGGGCGUAAAGCGUGCGUAGGUGGUCGUUUAAGUCCGUUGUGAAAGCCCUGGGCUCAACCUGGGAAUUGCAGUGGAUACUGGGCGACUAGAGUGCGGUAGAGGGUAGUGGAAUUUCCGGUGUAGCAGUGAAAUGCGUAGAGAUCGGAAGGAACAUCUGUGGCGAAGGCGACUACCUGGGCCAGCACUGACACUGAGGCACGAAAGCGUGGGGAGCAAACAGG
rnacentral:rRNA from 1 species